GGUCUAAUCUGCCCACUGAUAUUAAUUGAAGGGCCGCGGUAUUUUAACCGUGCAAAGGUAGCAUAAUCAUUAGUUUUUUAAUUGAAGGCUUGUAUGAAUGAUUGGACGAGAUAUUAGCUGUUUCAUAUAAAAUUUAAUAAAAUUUUAUUUUUUAGUCAAAAAGCUAAAAUAAGUAUAAAAGACGAGAAGACCCUAUAGAUCUUAAUAAUUUAUAUAUUUUAUUUAUAUAGAAAUUUUUGAGUAUUAUAUUUAUAAUUAUUUUGUUGGGGUGACAAUAAAAUUUAAUAAACUUUUAUAUAAAUUUUACAUUAAUUAAUGAAUAAUUGAUCCAUUAUUAGUGAUUAAUAAAUUAAGUUACCUUAGGGAUAACAGCGUAAUUUUUUUAGAGAGUUCAUAUCGAUAAAAGAGAUUGCGACCUCGAUGUUGGAUUAAGAGAUAAAGUUGGGUGUAGAAGUUCAAAUAUUUAGGUCUGUUCGACCUUUGAUUUCUUACGUGAUCUGAGUUC
rnacentral:rRNA from 1 species